rnacentral:tRNA from 1 species
GGCUCAGAUGGUAAAGCAUCUGCCUGCAAUGCAGGAGACCCGGGUUCGAUCCCUGG